AGGGUUACCCGCUGAACUUAAGCAUAUCAAU
rnacentral:rRNA from 1 species